rnacentral:rRNA from 3 species
ACUUUUGACCUCGGAUCAGGUAGGGAUACCCGCUGAACUUAAGCAUA